rnacentral:rRNA from 1 species
UGAGCAACCUGCCCCUGGCUCUGGGAUAACCCCGGGAAACCGGAGCUAAUACCGGAUACGAGACCGAUUGGCAUCUUUACGGUCUGGAAAGUUUUUCGGCCAGGGAUGGGCUCGCGGCCUAUCAGCUUGUUGGUGAGGUAAUGGCCCACCAAGGCGACGACGGGUAGCCGGCCUGAGGGGGCGACCGGCCACACUGGGCCUGAGACACGGCCCAGACUCCUACGGGAGGCA